GGGAGGAGCCUGCGGGGCCGCGUCUCCCCCCGGGUCGGGCCAGGGGAGGGGGCAGAGGGGCAUGUGCUUCAGAACAACACCAUGCUGGGAGCCUCCUCUCUGAGUGUCACUGCAGAAACUCGGGACCCCGUGCCCACCACGACACACGUGUGCUCUGGGGACCAGCCGCUAUUGCAAAGUAGCCCGUUAGCACUGUCGGGAUGAGCACUCACACACCUGUGUUGUCUCCUGGGGAGUAACACUGAAGAGAACGAUCGUGAACAAA